AUUGAACGCUGGCGGCAGGCCUAACACAUGCAAGUCGAACGGCAGCACAGAAGAGCUUGCUCUUUGGGUGGCGAGUGGCGGACGGGUGAGUAAUGUCUGGGAAACUGCCCGAUGGAGGGGGAUAACUACUGGAAACGGUAGCUAAUACCGCAUAACGUCGCGAGACCAAAGUGGGGGACCUUCGGGCCUCACACCAUCGGAUGUGCCUAGAUGGGAUUAGCUAGUAGGUGGGGUAAUGGCUCACCUAGGCGACGAUCCCUAGCUGGUCUGGGGGGAUGCACAGGCACACUGGAACUGGAACACGGUCCAGACUCCUACGGGAGGCAGCAGUGGGGAAUAGUGCGCAAUGGGCGCAAGCCUGAUGCAGACAUGGCGCGUGUAUGAAGAAGGCAUUCGGGUUGUAAAGUACUUUCAGCGGGGAGGAAGGCGGUGAGGUUAAUAACCUCGCCGAUUGACGUUACCCGCAGAAGAAGCACCGGCUAACUCCGUGCCAGCAGCCGCGGUAA
rnacentral:rRNA from 1 species